CAGCCGCCGCGGUAAUACCGGCGGCCCGAGUGGCGGUCCCUAUUAUUGGGCUUAAAACGUCCGUAGCCGGGUUGGGGAGUCCUCCGGGAAAUCUGGCCGCUUAACGGUCAGAAUGCCGGAGGAUACUCCCAGCCUAGGGAGCGGGAGAGGCCGAGGGUAUUCCCGGAGUAGGGGUGAAAUCCUAUAAUCCCGGGAGGACCACCUGUGGCGAAGGCGCUCGGCUGGAACGCGUCCGACGGUGAGGGACGAAGGCCAGGGGAGCAAACCGGAUUAGAUACCCGGGUAGUCCUGGCUGUAAACGAUGCGGACUUUGUGUCGGACAAGCUAUGAGCUUGUCCGGUGCCGGAGGGAAACCGUUAAGUCCGCCGCCUGGGGAGUACGGCCGCAAGGCUGAAACUUAAAGGAAUUGGCGGG
rnacentral:rRNA from 1 species